rnacentral:rRNA from 1 species
UCCGUAGGCGGCCUAUUAAGUCAGUGGUGAAAGGUAUCAGCUUAACUGAUGACGUGCCAUUGAAACUGAUAGGCUUGAGUACAGACGAGGUAGGCGGAAUUUAUGGUGUAGCGGUGAAAUGCAUAGAUACCAUAAAGAACACCAAUUGCGAAGGCAGCUUACUAGACUGAGACUGACGCUGAGGCACGAAAGCGUGGGGAGCGAACAGGAUUAGAUACCCUGGUAGUC